AAGGCCUUAACUUAAUAAAAGUAUCUGAUUUGCAGUCAGAAUAUGUGAGGUUAAAUCUUGCAGGUCUUA
rnacentral:tRNA from 1 species